rnacentral:rRNA from 1 species
AAUAGAUACCCUGGUAGUCCUAGCCGUAAACGAUGACCACUAGGCGUGGGAGGUAUCGACCCCUUCUGUGCCGAAGCAUACGCAUUAAGUGGUCCGCCUGGGGAGUACGGCCGCAAGGCUAAAACUCAAAGGAAUUGACGGGGGGCCCGCACAAGCGGCGGAGCAUGCGGAUUAAUUCGAUGCAACGCGAAGAACCUUACCAAGGCUUGACAUACACCGGAAUCACUCAGAGAUGGGUGCGUCUUCGGACUGGUGUACAGGUGGUGCAUGGUUGUCGUCAGCUCGUGUCGUGAGAUGUUGGGUUAAGUCCCGCAACGAGCGCAACCCUCGUUCUAUGUUGCCAGCACGUCAUGGUGGGGACUCAUAGGAGACGUGCCGGGGUCAACUCGGAGGAAGGUGGGGAUGACGUCAAAUCAGUCAUGCCCCUUAUGUCUUGGGCUUCACGCAGUGCUACAAUGGCCGGUCAAAAGGGUUGCGAUACUGUGAGGUGGAGCGUAAUCUCAAAAAGCCGGUCCCAGUUCGGAUUGGGGUC